rnacentral:rRNA from 1 species
GAUUCUGGCUCAGGAUGAACGCUGGCGGCAUGCCUAAUACAUGCAAGUCGAACGGAGUGAAGCCUUCGGGUUUCAUUCAGUGGCGAACGGGUGAGUAAUACGCAGGGAACCUGGCCAUGGCAGGGGGAUACACUCUGGAAACGGAGCAUAAGACCCCAUAGGCAGUAAGGCGGCAUCGCCUUACUGUUAAAGAAAGCUGAAAGGCUUUGGCGAUGGAUGGACCUGCGGUGCAUUAGCUUGUUGGUGAGGCAACGGCUUACCAAGGCGAUGAUGCAUAGCCGGCCUGAGAGGGCGGACGGCCACACUGGGACUGAGACACGGCCCAGACUCCUGCGGGAGGCAGCAGUAGGGAAUUUUCGUCAAUGGGCGCAAGCCUGAACGAGCAAUGCCGCGUGAGUGAGGAAGGUCUUCGGACUGUAAAGCUCUGUUGCCGGGGAAAAAGGGGAAAUGCAGGAAAUGGCAUUUCAUGGAUGGUACCCGGCCAGAAAGCCACGGCUAACUACGUGCCAGCAGCCGCGGUAAUACGUAGGUGGCGAGCGUUAUCCGGAAUGAUUGGGCGUAAAGGGUGCGCAGGCGGUCUGUUAAGUCUGAAGGCAAAGGGAUGAGCUCAACUCAUUUAUGAUUCAGAAACUGGCAGACUUGAGGACAGGAGAGGGCGGUGGAACUCCAUGUGUAGCGGUAAAAUGCGCAGAGAUAUGGAAGAACACCAGUGGCGAAGGCGGCCGCCUGGCCUGUGACUGACGCUGAGGCACGAAAGCGUGGGGAGCAAAUAGGAUUAGAUACCCUAGUAGUCCACGCCGUAAACGAUGAGGAGCAGGUGUUGGGAGUGAAAUCUCAGUGCCGAAGCCAACGCAGUGACUCCUCCGCCUGGGGAGUAUGCACGCAAGUGUGAAACUCAAAGGAAUUGACGGGGGCCCGCACAAGCGGUGGAGUAUGUGGUUUAAUUCGAAGCAACGCGAAGAACCUUACCAGGUUUUGACAUCGGAUGCGAAGGCGCAGAGAUGCGCUGGAGGCUAUCAUCCAGACAGGUGGUGCAUGGUUGUCGUCAGCUCGUGUCGUGAGAUGUUCAGUUAAGUCUGGCAACGAGCGCAACCCCCGUGGUAUGUUACUAACGCUUAGGGCGAGGACUCAUAUCAGACUGCCGGUGACAAACCGGAGGAAGGCGGGGAUGACGUCAAAUCAUCAUGCCCCUUAUGACCUGGGCUACACACGUACUACAAUGGCGUCUACAGAGGGAAGCGACCCUGAGAAGGGAAGCGAAACCGGAAAAGGGCGUCCCAGUUCGGAUUGAAGUCUGCAACCCGACUUCAUGAAGAUGGAAUCGCUAGUAAUCGCGGAUCAGCAUGCCGCGGUGAAUACGUUCCCGGGCCUUGUACACACCGCCCGUCAAACCAUGGAAGCCGGCAACGCCCGAAGCCGGUGGCAUAACCUUUUAGGAGUGAGCCGUCGAAGGCGGGGCCGAUGACUGGGGUUAAGUCGUAACAAGGUAUCC